rnacentral:rRNA from 1 species
AUUGAACGCUGGCGACAUGCCUUACACAUGCAAGUCGAACGGCAGCACGGGUGCUUGCACCUGGUGGCGAGUGGCGAACGGGUGAGUAAUACAUCGGAACAUGUCCUGUAGUGGGGGAUAGCCCGGCGAAAGCCGGAUUAAUACCGCAUACGAUCUACGGAUGAAAGCGGGGGACCUUCGGGCCUCGCGCUAUAGGGUUGGCCGAUGGCGGAUUAGCUAGUUGGUGGGGUAAAGGCCUACCAAGGCGACGAUCAGUAGCUGGUCUGAGAGGACGACCAGUCACACUGGGACUGAGACACGGCCCAGACUCCUACGGGAGGCAGCAGUGGGGAAUUUUGGACAAUGGGCGAAAGCCUGAUCCAGCAAUGCCGCGUGUGUGAAGAAGGCCUUCGGGUUGUAAAGCACUUUUGUCCGGAAAGAAAUCCUUGGCCCUAAUACGGUCGGGGGAUGACGGUACCGGAAGAAUAAGCACCGGCUAACUACGUG